AGUGAACGCUGGCGGUAGGCCUAACACAUGCAAGUCGAACGGCAGCACAGUAAGAGCUUGCUCUUACGGGUGGCGAGUGGCGGACGGGUGAGAAAUACAUCGGAAUCUACUUUUUCGUGGGGGAUAACGUAGGGAAACUUACGCUAAUACCGCAUACGACCUACGGGUGAAAGCAGGGGAUCUUCGGACCUUGCGCGAUUGAAUGAGCCGAUGUCGGAUUAGCUAGUUGGCGGGGUAAAGGCCCACCAAGGCGACGAUCCGUAGCUGGUCUGAGAGGAUGAUCAGCCACACUGGAACUGAGACACGGUCCAGACUCCUACGGGAGGCAGCAGUGGGGAAUAUUGGACAAUGGGCGCAAGCCUGAUCCAGCUAUACCGCGUGGGUGAAGAAGGCCUUCGGGUUGUAAAGCCCUUUUGUUGGGAAAGAAAAGCAGCAGGUUAAUACCCCGCUGUUCUGACGGUACCCAAAGAAUAAGCACCGGCUAACUUCGUG
rnacentral:rRNA from 1 species